GGCUGCAUCACUUCGAAACACAUGUUCUCAUACGAUCACCUAAGUUAAGCAAUGUCGAGCCUGUCCAGUACCUAGUUGGAUGACCACUUGUGAAUAGCGGAUACUGUCAG